UACCUUUUAGAGCUCAGUUGGUUAGAGCAUGGUGCUGUUAACACCAAGGUUGCAGGUUUGAUCCCCAUAAGGGACAG
rnacentral:tRNA from 1 species